rnacentral:rRNA from 1 species
GUGGGGAAUAUUGGGCAAUGGGCGAAAGCCUGACCCAGCAACGCCGCGUGAAGGAAGAAGGUCUUCGGAUCGUAAACUUCUAUCCUUGGUGAAGAUAAUGACGGUAGCCGAGAAGGAAGCCCCGGCUAACUACGUGCCAGCAGCCGCGGUAAUACGUAGGGGGCAAGCGUUGUCCGGAAUGAUUGGGCGUAAAGGGCGCGUAGGCGGCCUGGUAAGUCUGGAGUGAAAGUCCUGCUUUUAAGGUGGGAAUUGCUUUGGAUACUGUCGGGCUUGAGUGCAGGAGAGGUAAGGGGAAUUCCUGGUGUAGCGGUGAAAUGCGUAGAGAUCGGGAGGAACACCAGUGGCGAAGGCGACUUACUGGACUGUAACUGACGCUGAGGCGCGAAAGUGUGGGGAGCAAACAGGAUUAGAAACCCGGGUAGUCC